UGCGGGAUGGAGCAGUCUGGUAGCUCGUCGGGCUCAUAACCCGAAGGUCGUUGGUUCAAAUCCAGCUCCCGCAACCA
rnacentral:tRNA from 2 species